rnacentral:rRNA from 1 species
ACGGGACCCGCACAAGCAGCGGAGCAUGUGGUUUAAUUCGAAGCAACGCGAAGAACCUUACCAGAUCUUGACAUCCAAUUGACCAUCUUUUAAUCGAGAUUUUGCCUUCGGGUACAAUUGAGACAGGUGGUGCAUGGUUGUCGUCAGCUCGUGUCGUGAGAUGUUGGGUUAAGUCCCGCAACGAGCGCAACCCUUGUGUUUUAGUUGCAAACAGGUCAAGCUGUGCACUCUAGACAGACUGCCGUGGACAACACGGAGGAAGGUGGGGAUGACGUCAAAUCAUCAUGCCCCUUAUGAUCUGGGCUACACACGUGCUACAAUGGCCGGUACAACGGGCAGCGAAGGAGCGAUCCGGAGCGAAUCCUAAAAAGCCGGUCCCAGUUCGGAUUGCAGGCUGAAACUCGCCUACAUGAAGUUGGAUUCGCUAGUAAUCGCGCAUCAGCCAUGGCGCGGUGAAUACGUUCCCGGGCCUU